CUUUGGGUCUCCGGAAUGCUGCAAGCACCAGGGAGACACAGGAUGCCUUUGCUCUGAUAAGAGGGGGCUGCCACCUGCAGACACAGGAUGGGGUCAUAGACAGCAGCCCUGGACACGCGGAGGCGCCUGCAUCAGGAGCAGGGAGUGGGAGCUGGAGACAGGAGAUGCCGAAGGACCCUCCCCAGGAGGGAGACGGGACGGGGCCCCAGGGCUAUUUGUGGAUAGAACCUGCUUUGCUCCUGGAGUGCACCGGAGAGACUCGGAGACGCCUCAGGGCCAAGGCCACCAUGUGAGGCAGAAAGGAGAUGGUGGAGGCCGAAACACUAAUGACAGUGACACAUACGUGGCCCUUCCUCCAGGCUGUACCGGAGGCCACAGGAGAACAGAUGGCCAGAGAGAGCGGUGUCAGAAGUCCACGCAGAGUAGACGUCCACAUUCUCUGGGAUAACGGGGAUAAAAAGUGUAGAAUUCAAACUUAAAUUACCAUCAUGAGAAUAACUGUGUUGUCCUGCUGUUCA
rnacentral:lncRNA from 10 species